rnacentral:rRNA from 1 species
CCUCUUACCAUUCCGAACAGAGAAGUUAAGCCCAUUUGCGCCGAUGGUACUGCGUUCAGCGGGAGAGUAGGUCGUUGCCGUUU